rnacentral:rRNA from 1 species
GACGAACGCGGCGGCGUGCCUAAUACAUGCAAGUAGAACGCUGAAGGAGGAGCUUGCUUCUCUGGAUGAGUUGCGAACGGGUGAGUAACGCGUAGGUAACCUGCCUGGUAGCGGGGGAUAACUAUUGGAAACGAUAGCUAAUACCGCAUAAGAGUAGAUGUUGCAUGACAUUUGCUUAAAAGGUGCAAUUGCAUCACUACCAGAUGGACCUGCGUUGUAUUAGCUAGUUGGUGGGGUAACGGCUCACCAAGGCGACGAUACAUAGCCGACCUGAGAGGGUGAUCGGCCACACUGGGACUGAGACACGGCCCAGACUCCUACGGGAGGCAGCAGUAGGGAAUCUUCGGCAAUGGACGGAAGUCUGACCGAGCAACGCCGCGUGAGUGAAGAAGGUUUUCGGAUCGUAAAGCUCUGUUGUAAGAGAAGAACGAGUGUGAGAGUGGAAAGUUCACACUGUGACGUAUCUACCA